rnacentral:rRNA from 1 species
UGACCAUCAUAGUGUUAUGGUACCACCUGAUUCCAUUUCGAACUCAGAAGUGAAACAUUUCAACGCCGAGGGUAGUACGGGGCAUCCCCGUGUGAGAUUAGGAAAAGGCCAGGUG